rnacentral:rRNA from 1 species
GUGGGGAAUCUUAGACAAUGGGCGCAAGCCUGAUCUAGCCAUGCCGCGUGAUCGAUGAAGGCCUUAGGGUUGUAAAGAUCUUUCAGUGGGGAAGAUAAUGACUGUACCCACAGAAGAAGCCCCGGCUAACUCCGUGCCAGCAGCCGCGGUAAUACGGAGGGGGCUAGCGUUGUUCGGAAUUACUGGGCGUAAAGCGCACGUAGGCGGAACAGAUAGUCAGAGGUGAAAUCCCAGGGCUCAACCUUAGAACUGACUUUGAAACUCCUGUUUUUGAGUUCGAGAGAGGUGAGUGGAAUUCCGAGUGUAGAGGUGAAAUUCGUAGAUAUUCGGAGGAACACCAGUGGCGAAGGCGGCUCACUGGCUCGAUACUGACGCUGAGGUGCGAAAGCGUGGGGAGCAAACAGGAUUAGAUACCCGUGUAGUCC